rnacentral:sRNA from 1 species
UACCAGAUGGAGGUGGUUGCGACGAGAC